rnacentral:rRNA from 1 species
CCUACGGGUGGCUGCAGUGAGGAAUAUUGGUCAAUGGACGCAAGUCUGAACCAGCCAUGCCGCGUGCAGGAAGACGGCUCGAUGAGGUGUAAACUGCGUUUGUACGAGGGUAAACGCAGAUACGCGGAGCUGUCUGAAAGUAAAGUACGAAGAAGGAGCGGCUAACUCCGUGCCAGCAGCCGCGGUAGUACGGAGGAUUCAAGUGUUGUCCGGAUUUAUUUGGUUGACUGGGUGCGUAGGCGGUCGGCUAAGUUAGAGGUGACAUCCCGAGGCUCAACUUCGGAAUGGCCUCUGAUACGGUUCGGCUAGAGCGUAGUUGCGGUCGGCGGCAUGUAUGGUGUAGCGGU